ensembl:lncRNA
CGGCGGGUCCCCACGUCGCCGGGCGGACAGCGCUCUCAGGGCAAUGCCGCAUUUGUUUCGCCCUGCCCGCGGAAUCUCGCCACUCAGGAAGCAAGGAGAGAAACUUACGUUUCACGCGGGACUGGACGGGAGGUUUAUCUCCAGGAAAGCAGAACAUUCAUCAUAGAAUCAGAAUACACUCUGGAUUUUCUUCCCGUGUGCAGACUACACCAAAUGAAGUCUUAAAUCCGCUUAUACCAACACCUUUCUGUAAAUAUUCUGUUUCAACAGAUUGCCAGAAAGAACUUCAGAGCAUUUCAAAGGCAAUAACUUCGAACACUAACUUCAAGCUUUCAUUGAGAGCACAGAUUCUAUAGCAACGAAGUAACAAUGGCAACAAAAUUGCAUUCCGUUGAUUGAAGCUUUUUAAGAGCUGGGAAUGUGAGACUACGACAACCUUUCCCUUGUGUAAUGUCAAUGUCGGCUAUCACUUUGGCAGAAUCAGCCAGCUCAGUGAAGACACGAAAACCCUCCUUCCCUCCUGUUUUUUCGUCUGCUGGUGGCAUUCAAAGUGACCUUCCCUUAUAAAUAUUGCAUGCUGAUGAGCUGUUUGUGAAUGUGGAAGAUUUUUGCUGCAGAGCUGCUAGUGAAAAUGUGAUAAUACACUUUAGUGGUGAGUAGAAGCAUAAUUAUUGCUUUAAAAUCACAAAAAUUCUGUCAGCCAACCAUAAAGAAAAGAACAACAGGACAACAUUUUCAACUACAUUUUUCUUUAAUUGCAACUGCAUUUACGAAUCUGUUUUAGAUGAUGUUAAAUCAGAAAAUAUAAAAAAUGCCAGAAUUGGGGCCCCUAUGUAGAAUGCACACAUACAUAACCACCAUCACCUCUGAAGCCAAAUACAGAAGUACAUAUGUAGUGAUUCAGAAAAUCAAAUGUUUUCUGGAAGAUGGAAGGACAGUAGGGUUCUACAGAAAGAAGUGUGAAUAUUAUUUUCCAAAAUUCUCCUCCUAAAGCUACCUAUAUGCUAUUCUAGAUGCCGUUGGGUACUGAAUAGCACCCAAACAUGGAUAAGUAAAUAUCCCACUUCCAUUUCCCUAAUUUCUGAUCCUCAGACCAGCAUUCCUGACUUCUCCCACAUCCUGAGAUGUAGGCUGUUACAUCUGGCUCUCCUAUAUAAAUGUACACACGAUGCACGUUAUAAAUACCAUCUUCUGUGGUGCAAAAUAAAAGUUUUAUGGACAGUUGCAAGCCAUAUGUUCUCAACGAGAAAUCUUUUCCAGAUGAACUUGUGAAGUCAGUUUGGCUUUUUAUCAAAAUUAGUAUGUUGCUGCCAAAUUUUACACAGCAUUCAUCAUUCGUUUUUGUUGCAUCUCUAAUUCUAUGUCAUAUAAAUCCUACUGACAUUGAGUAGAAGAAAAAAAAUAAUUCAGAAUCCCUUUUUAUAAGCACAUUUAUAUUAAAUGGUGUUAAAAAAAUAAGAUAUCUUUACUGAUAUUUAAAUUUACUCAGAAAAGGGUAACCAACAGAUGUGAACAUCUGGGUUGCUGGAAUAGUCGGAGUAGCUGUGGAAUCAGUCCUUUCUUCUAACUUAGUGAAAUUGGGUUUAGAAGAUAACAGGUUACUGUUUUACUUUCCUUCAUCAAGUGACACUUCUCUAGAAAGGAGAAAAACAGCUACUUACCAUUACCUGAACAGCUGUCAGAUGAUCAAGCUUUUUGGUAAUAGAAUUUGAUCAUGUAGUUGCUUACUUUACAUAUGUGCGUAGUUACUAGACGACUGCAUGUGCAAACAGAGUUCAAGCCAAAAAAAUAGCUGUUUGCAGAAUUAGGGCCUUAGUGAUGGAAACUUCCUUGUUCCCUUGCUGCAUCAAAUGCUGCACUGUGUAGUGAAACCGUGUUAUGGUGGGCAGAAUCACGUGUUCUUUAAUGGAAUUGUUGUUACAAAGAAGCAGUAUCCAACAGUGUGAUUUGCAUCAUGCUGUGUGAGCCGCCUACACUUUUCAGCAGUUGGUUCUGUGUCUGUAAUUUAUUGCUCUAGAAACCAUUAUAAUAAUACAAGAAAUGCUGCAGCAAGUGCAGAGGAAAGAACACAUCACAGUCAGACUGUAAUGACUAUUUAGACUAUUUAAACUCACUCAGCUUGUUUUACAUUAGAAAAACAAGUCCUUUUCAAUUACUUAUUUUAUGCAUUUUAUUUGGCUUUCUGGUUUCAUUGUGGUUGAGAUUAAAUACACUAUUACACAUUUUAAGAUAGUUUAUGAUAGAAACUGCCCUAAAACGUAAAACGAGACCUGAAUAUAGGAUGUUAAAAGCAAAAAUUUCCACCUUGCAGAAAAAAAAAUGAUGGCAGAUACAUAACUUCCUACCUAGUAAGUAGUCUAAUGCUUGUAAAAGCACUUCACAAUGUACGGUAAGCUAUACUGAAAACUCUCCAUGCGUUCCCUAUACAGUUUGUAGUUCUAGUCCUUUAAAAACAAUGGCAUUUCAGAUUUGACCAUUAUAGACUUUUUGCUCAUUAGUAGAAGAGACGUCAUCAGAUGGCUUUUGUAGCUCAUUCUUUUCACUGGUGUACUGACCAGCAGGGGGCCAAUAUAGGAAAGAAAUACCCUGAUGCUGCUAAGGAUCCCUCAACAGACCAAACUGGGACCUCCAGCUGGUGGUUCAAUAUCACCUUUUCAGUCUUGAAUUAAGCACAGGACAUGGCCCAUAAUUUUUAUUUUUAUAUGGAAUUUUUACCACACUUCUUUCAGCACACAGUUCACUUCUGUGUUUGCACAGUCCAGCAGAAUACAGAGCAAUUUUUGUCAAUAAUGUUGUCCUCCUAACUUCUAUGUGAUAAAAAAUCAAUCAUUUGUAACUGCAUACUUCUUUCUCAGAUACCUAAAUGCUUUCUUUGCCACAGAGAAGUUUCUCAAUGGUUAAUGUUUGUAUAAUUGAAUGUUUUCAGUCUUUUUUCUUCACCUUUCCAUUUGCUCUGACUCAGUCCUUUCUGCUCUCCACUUUUUGUCUCUGGUCUUGGUUCUCUGAAAUUCAUAAUCUAGAGAGUAGCUGACACCAGUAUUUUGGUUUUAGAACUCCUUAAACUUUUUCCAAACUCCUCUGUAUUGUUUUUGUCCCUCACUGAUUCCAAUCCAGUGACCAUUUGUUUCCUAUUUUCGUAAAGCUCAUUUACAAAUCCUAGAUGCUGCUUUCUUGGUCUCUUCUGUUACUGUUGUUAUUUGUUCCCAGAGCUCUUUUCUGUUGCAUCCUUUGUUUCUGGCCUGUUACUAGCUUUCCUUAAGCUAUUUCUGAAUUUCAUUCAUAUUUAAUGUUUCCACAGUUCUAACAUAAGUAUAGUCACUUCCUUAACCUCCUAGCAUAAGUGAUUUCUUCUGCCUGAAAUACUCCUUUUGAAACCGCAUACUACUUUGCUACCAUAUGCUUACCCUUUUCUUGUGGAUUUUUAGCAGCCAGUGUACAUUUUCUUCCUUAUCCUUUACCUGCCGUGUGAAUUUAUAAAAAUAUUCAUGUUGGCUUAGUGUUUGGUACAAGAGCCAGAUACACAAAAGCAUGGUGUACCACACUAGAGUGUAUUUUAGCAAAAUCCCAUCUGAGACAACAUAACUGCGUUUUUCUUAGGAUUUUGAUAUUUUUUCCUAGUCCGUUUCCAAUGUAAUAGUUUGCAGUGAUGUGACAGAUAGUAGUAACUGCUAGUAACAAACAUAACUUAAUUUUCACUGAUAUAACCUAAAGGAAACAAAAUGCUUAAAUGUUAACACAUUUUCACCACCUCAGUAAAGAUCUCUUCAGAAGAGUAGGUACAGACAUCAAGAGACUGACCAACUAAAAACUCCAAAGGUAAAAUUACUCAUAUCUAUCCCUCAUCUAGUUGUUACUUUAUUUAUUUCUGAGAUUUUUAAAAAGUUAUUCUUUUUCUCGGAAAAAAAAAAAUACAUAGAACUCUAGAAUUCGUAUAUCAAAUUUGAAGAUAAAAAAUGUAAUAAAUGGGAGAUACAAAAUAUGCAUAAAUCUAAUUGUUGUAGUAGGCGUCUUGCGGGGGCACGGGAUGUACGGGACAGGCCUCUCCCUAAACAUAGAGAGAUAGUGCUAUCGUGCUGACCUUGUUGCAGAGAAAACAGGAGAAGAAGAAGGAUGAUAAAAGAAUGUGGAAACAAGGCACAAUGUUAUCUGAUGUGAACCAAUCAGAGUGGGACAUGACAGCACGGUUAUCUAGGUAAAAAUGUAUAUAAGCUGUGUUUAGUAGUGAAUAAACGCCAUUUGCCUCACUUACUCCUGGGGUCUGGGUGAGCAUCUGGCCCCGACCUGGUAAAGGGUCGGUUUCGCCCAGCAGUAAGCCCUACAUGUGGACAGAGGACGAACACCGGACGAGCGAACGGAGACUACAUGCAACAAGUGGUGACCCCGACGUGAUCUGUCUGCUGAGGGUGGCUGCCCGGCGUGCCCGUGACGCGGAGAAGAGCCUGUGAGGUGGCGGCAGGUCGCGCACGGAAGACGUACUGCGGUUAAGAGCCUGCGAGGUGGCGGCAGGUCGCAUACGUAACAAUGGACCAAGUCAUUAAGGUACUUGUGCAGUUUUGUAAGGACUACUUUGGAAAAUGUGCUCCUUCCCGGAAGGAGAUCGCGGCAGUUUUGUCGCUAUUAAAUGAGCUGGGGGAGCUGGACUCUCCCCGCUACGUUUUGGAUUCGAGUAGGUGGGACUUGCUCACCUCGGUGCUAUGCCAGCGCGCCAUGGCCAGUCAGAAGGCUACGGAACUUAAAACGUGGGGACUGAUAUUAGGAGCCCUUAAAGCGGCCAGAGUUGAGGGAAAGGUAUUGGUGGAGGCUCGAUACCCUUUGGGUCUCAGCGGAGGAGGUGAGACACAGGACCCGGUCGGGUCCGAUGGGGGUUCGGGAGCAGUUUCUUGCAGGGGCCGAGAGGAGACGGAGCCGCCAAUGACCGUUGGCGGGAUGGCGCCGGCUGAGCCGACCGCGCUCAGUUCAAAAGAAGACAAACAACAAGAGAGUGAAAGUUCGUUGUCUCGUCCCCCUCCCCCGUAUCCAAACCCCUCAGGCGGAACGUUGUAUCCUUUAUCAGAAUUACGUCAGUGUUACCUGACUCAAGGGGGCGGAGGAAGCUGUGAUCUACACGGGCAGGAUCAACUUAGUGCCCACAUGGGGAGGGACCAGACAAAAGGUCCGUCCAAUGCGGACAGGGGGCAUAGCCUACUGUCUCUGGUCACUCCCAGGGGCGGUAGUGCGAGUGAUAGUGUAGAAGAGAAAGAAGGGACUGGCUUUGAGUGCAGGGGGAGGGAUCAAAUGACGGACUGGAAUGGGAUUAGAUCGGAGGCUUUGGGAAAGGGUAUAGUUCCAGAGGCAUUCCGGGUGAUUGUGAGUGAUCGUGGUCCCGAAUGGGUGCCGCCUGACCCCGGGGGUGUUACGCGCCUGGUGGAAUUUAUGGAUAAAAGAGGCCUGAAAUCGCCUCUGACAUUAAAUGCACUACAAACUUUGGCUGCACUGGGGCCUCUCUUCCCCCGUGACAUCACAAACUUAAUGCGUACGAUGCUCAGGCUGGUUCAAUAUACGUUAUGGGAGACGGACUGGGUGGCCGAGUUGGGGGGCCGUGCCGGGGCGACAGGGGUCGGCCCGCGCCGCUCCCUGCAUGGGACCGGAAUACAGCGGCUUUCAGGGAAGGCCGUGGGAGUGGCUUCGCCCCAGGGCCAGCUAGCGAGACUAAGGCCAGGGGAGCUAAUAGCAGCCACAGAUGCAGUGGUGGAAGCGUUUAAUAAACUUGUGCAUAAGGCCGAACCACCUACUCCGUGCACAGAUAUUACCCAGGGCCCGAAUGAAUCCUUUCAAAGCUUUACAGACAGGCUUUUAGCUGCUGCAGAGGGGUCUGAUCUCCUGGUACCGGCCCAAGGGCCAGUGAUCAUUGACUGCUUGCAGCAGAAAUCGCAUGACAAUGUUAAGGCAUUGCUGCGAGCCGGCCGAAGUACGCUUAAUACCUCGGGAGAAGUUAUUCAGUAUGUCUUAGAUAAGCUCAAGGUGGCUCAUUUAACUAAUGAAAGGCUAGUCACAGCUAUUGUCGUAGCUGUUGGCCUGCGACAGCAAAGAUCGCUGCAGCAGCAAGGGCUGUGUUUCCGAUACGGCCAGUAUGGCCAUGUUAGAGCACAAUGCCCCUGUGGGGGAGGCCAGUCAGGGCCUCCUGAUCACAGGAAGGGCUUGCUAAAGGGUAUCCGUGGUCGGGUAUGCAGCAGUUAAACAUCAUGAAUCUGGGAAAUUCUGUGGGUACCAUCGCGAAAAGUAAUACCAGAUAUAAGUAGCAUAUCUGCAAAAACUGAGUCUAGGUGCGAGUUUUCUACAGAAAUUCUUCGUUGGCAGACCGAAGCCAACUCCAGAACAACUGAGGGACAGACGAUGGGAUCAAGAACCACUCGUCAAGAGGAGCACUACACCUGCAACGCUGACACUUCCAAUGUUGCUGAUAUUUAUGGUGUCCAUGGCGAUUACAGAGUGUCACAAACAACUACAAUGGACACAAGAACAUAUGCAGAAAAUUAAAGAAGAGCGUGAUCCCUUUGGAAGCUGGCUGGACGGACUGUUUGGGGGAACGGGUUCAUGGUUAAAGCAAUUGCUUAAAGCUCUCGCAGUAGGAUUUGCAAUCUUUGUGUGUAUUCUAAUCUGUCUUCCAUGCUUUGUAGGAUGCUUGCAGAACUGCCUUCAACGAAUGAUGGACAAGACUUUUGACUAUCACAUUGAGUAUCAUAGAUUGCGUGAAAAAUUAUAGAGGGGUUUAGGUUGUUGCGUUCGUGCUGUAACGGGGCAAGGCUUGGCCGAGCACGGAAAAGAAUUCCCUGUUGCUCUGAUGAUUGCUUAAGAACUGUAGUGGAAAAUAGUAGGAAUAGUGUGCUGAAAUAUAUUUAGGAUUAGGCGUUUUGCGCUGCUUCGCGAUGUACGGGUUAGGUGUGUGUGUAAGUAGUAUUUAGCUUAGGGAGGGGGAGAUGUUGUAGUAGGCGUCUUGCGGGGGCACGGGAUGUACGGGACAGGCCUCUCCCUAAACAUAGAGAGAUAGUGCUAUCGUGCUGACCUUGUUGCAGAGAAAACAGGAGAAGAAGAAGGAUGAUAAAAGAAUGUGGAAACAAGGCACAAUGUUAUCUGAUGUGAACCAAUCAGAGUGGGACAUGACAGCACGGUUAUCUAGGUAAAAAUGUAUAUAAGCUGUGUUUAGUAGUGAAUAAACGCCAUUUGCCUCACUUACUCCUGGGGUCUGGGUGAGCAUCUGGCCCCGACCUGGUAAAGGGUCGGUUUCGCCCAGCAGUAAGCCCUACAUGUGGACAGAGGACGAACACCGGACGAGCGAACGGAGACUACAUGCAACACUAAUUUUUAGAUACAAAAAGUACAGGUCUAGUGGUAACUUCUGAUAAUCUGACAGAAUAUAUGGAAACUGAAUCAUUAUUAUCUGAGUUGAGAGAGUUCAGAAGUUUACUGACAAUGUGUGUUCUUUAUCCUAACAGUCUGAUUUCACAUUGCAUUUUCCUUUUGAGCGGAGCACAAGUAAGCAGCAGUUUUAUUGCAUUUUCCAGAACUACUGGAAAAGUUCAAGAAGCUAUAAAGUACAGAGAGAAGCAAUAAAACAGCAAUAAAAUUGCUAAUAUUAUCUAUAAUUGAAGAGAUUAGCAGCCCACAUUUUUAUAUUUGCUUUUUUUUUUUCACCAGAG